rnacentral:rRNA from 1 species
CCUACGGGAGGCAGCAGUGAGGAAUAUUGCACAAUGGAGGAAACCCUGAUGCAGCGACGCCGCGUGAGUGAAGAAGUAAUUCGUUGUGUAAAGCUCUAUCAGCAGGGAAGAAAAUGACGGUACCUGAGUAAGAAGCCACGGCUAACUACUUGCCAGCAGCGGCGGGAAUACGUAGGGGGCAAGCGUUAUCCGGAUUUACUGGGUGUAAAGGGGGCGUAGACGGCAGUGCAAGUCUGGAGUGAAAGGCGGGGGUUAAAUCCCGGACUGCUCUGGAAACUGUACGGCUGGAGUGCAGGAGAGGUAAGUGGAAUUCCUAGUGUAGCGGUGAAAUGCGUAGAUAUUAGGAGGAACACCAGUGGCGAAGGCGGCUUACUGGACUGUAACUGACGUUGAGGCUCGAAAGCGUGGGGAGCAAACAGGAUUAGAUACCCGAGUAGUC